rfam:Johnsonella ignava ATCC 51276 genomic scaffold supercont1.15, whole genome shotgun sequence.
AUAAUGAUACUUCUUUAGUGAAAGCCGGCUCAUCUUGAAAAGAGGCGGAGGUGAAAUUCUUAUGU